rnacentral:rRNA from 1 species
GAAGCUAAAGGAUUUAUUCACUUCCCGAGGGGCUCGCGGUCCAUCAGCUUGUUGGUGAGGGUAACGGCCCACCAAUGCGACAACGGGUAGCUGGUCUGAGAGGAUGGUCAGCCACACUGGAACUGAGACACGGUCCAGACACCUACGGGUGGCAGCAGUCGAGAAUCAUUCGCAAUGGGGGAAACCCUGACGAUGCGACGCCGCGUGGAGGAUGAAGGCCUUAGAGUUGUAAACUCCUGUCAAGAGGGAAUAAGCAAGUGAAGGUACCUCUAGAGGAAGGGGCGGCUAAUUCCGUGCCAGCAGCCGCGGUAACACGGAAGCCCCGAGCGUUGUUCGGAUUCAUUGGGCGUAAAGGGUGCGUAGGCGGCGCGGAAAGUCCGGCGUGAAAGGCAGAGGCUCAACCUCUGGACUGCGUUGGAUACUUCCGUGCUUGAGGACUGGAGGGGAGACUGGAAUUCACGGUGUAGCAGUGAAAUGCGUAGAUAUCGUGAGGAAGACCGGUGGCGAAGGCGAGUCUCUGGACAGAUCCUGACGCUGAGGCACGAAGGCUGGGGGAGCGAACAGGAUUAGAUACCCUGGUAGUCCCAGCAGUAAACGAUGUGAGCUUGAUGUGGGGGGAUUCGACCCCUUCCCGUGUCGAAGCUAACGCGAUAAGCUCACCGCCUGAGGAGUACGGCCGCAAGGCUAAAACUCAAAGAAAUUGACGGGGACCCGCACAAUCGGUGGAGUAUGUGGCUUAAUUCGAUGCAACGCGAAGAACCUUACCUGGCCUUGACAUGCAUUGUGUCGUCGGUGAAAGCCGGCUAGUCCUGGAAACAGGACGCUUUGCACAGGUGCUGCAUGGCUGUCGUCAGCUCGUGUCGUGAGAUGUUGGGUUAAGUCCCGCAACGAGCGCAACCCUUGUGGUCAGUUACUAACCGGCUUAGCCGGAGGACUCUGGCCAGACUGCCCUGUCAAACGGGGAGGAAGCUCGGGACGACGUCAAGUCAGUAUGGCCCUUAUGGCCAGGGCUGCACACGUACUACAAUGCCCGGUACAAUGUGAACCGAAACCGCGAGGUGGAGGAAUCGCUCUUGAAACCGGGCCCAGUUCGGAUUGGAGUCUGCACUCGACUCCAUGAGUCGGAUCGCUAGUAAUGGCGUAUCAGCAAC